GAAGUGGCUCCGUGCGUAAGGCGGCUCGGGGAAGACUGCGAUGGCUGCCGGCGUACCCUGUGCGCUUGUCACCAGCUGUUCUUCCACCUUUACCGGGGACAGGCUGGUUCAACAUAUUCUUGGAACAGAAGAUCUUGCUGCAGAUACUCCUGCAAACAAUGGUGUGAGAUUUUACCCUUGGACUAUUGAUAACAAGUACUAUUCUGCAGACAUCAAUCUGUGUGUGGUGCCAAAUAGAUUCCUCAUCACAGCUGAAAUUUCAGAGGCUGUCCAGGCAUUCAUAGUUUACUUUGACAGCACACAAAAAUCUGGUCUUGACAGUGUUUCAUCAUGGCUUCCACUGGCAGAAGCAUGGCUACCGGAAGUGAUGAUCUUGGUGUGUGACAGAGUUUCUGAAAAUGGUGUAAACCGACCAAAAGCUCAAGAAUGGUGCAUCCAGCAUGGUUUUGAGUUGGUAGAACUUAGUCCAGAAGAAUUACCUGAAGAAGAUGAUGACUUCCCAGAAUCUACCGGGGUAAAAAGAAUCAUACAAGCCUUGAAUGCCAAUGUCUGGUCGAAUGUAGUAAUGAAGAGUGAAAGAAACCAAAGCUUUGGCCUUCUCAGUUCAUUGGCUGGUGCAAACUGUAACAUUGGGUCAGCUGAGAACCAUCACACUGAACCUCAUUUGCCUGUAGGAGAUGGGACUGAAUGCUGCUUCGACCAUCAAGAUAGUGCUUCUAACACAACUGACUCCCAGAUUGAUAGUAUCGUAGACCCCAUGCUAGAUCUGGAUAUCCAGGAAUUAGCUAGUCUCACUACUGGAGGAGGAAAUCUGGAAAAUUUUGAACGGCUAUUUUCAAAGCUAAAAGAAAUGAAAGAUAAAGCAGCAACUUUGCCUCAUGAACAAAGAAAGUUGCAUGCAGAAAAGGUGGCCAAAGCAUUCUGGAUGGCAAUUGGUGGAGACCGAGAUGAGAUUGAAGGCAUUUCUUCUGAUGAAGAAAAUUGAACUUCUUAUGUCUAAUUAGCCAAGAUGGACUUUAUCUCCUCUCACUUUCUCAGCUAGUUUUCAAGAACCAAGCUUACCUGAUCCAUGAUGAUCCGUGAUCUUUCUUUUUUAAGAAACUGAAAUGAGAGAGCACUAAAACAGGACAACCCGAGCAUACAAGACUGUCCUGCAGCAGCAUUCUACCCAAAGCACACUGUCAAUCACAGAAGAGACUGUGACACCCCCAGGGUUUCUUUGUUAGCUAUUUGACUUUGUUAAAUGUUCAGUUAAGAACAUUGGCAAAAUCCAAGAUGAAGAUGGGAAAGGAAGUUGGAGAAUUUUUUCCCCUUACUAUGAUAAAUGGCAUUAGGGAAAUAAUUAGAUCUUAUGUAUUAGGGAAAACAGAUUGGAAAAAGCUGUGAACUUGAUUUUGUAAAUUAAAUGUGGCUGGACUGAUUAAAAUGAGCAUUAUUUAUGAAGUUUGUUAAUGUGUAUUAAGUGCUUUUGGGGAGCUCAUGUCAUCAAUUUACACAAUGUUGAAGCAUGGCACAAAAUGGACGUUUUUACAAGGCAAUAAUAAGAACACAUGUGGAUUUCCCAAGACUUCAAACAUCAAAGUUUGACUCCCUUCAGGGUAUCCUGAGUAUUAGUAACUUACUCAAGACCCUUGAUGGCAAUAAUGUGAAGAAGUUUGUGUAGCCAUCACCACUGACAAUUUAAAUUGCAGUGUGUCCACAUUGAUUCUUGUCAAAUACAAUUCAUCAAUGUAAAACUCAAGUUGAGGUUUAAAUUUCAUGGCCUUGUUUGGAAAGACAAGAGUUAAUAGUGUUUUUUGGGAGGAGGCAAGAAGGGAUCAUAUAGAUUUUGAACACUUAUACUGAGAAAGCCAUGAAUUAUAAUUUGGAAUUCAUACACUUACAGAUAUUUUUUGCAUUUUGGAACUCUCACUUGGGGUAUAAGAAGAUUGACACCAUCAUUCUACUUUCGUAUUACUUAUAGGUAUUGAUGGUUAAGUAACAAAGUAUGUAGUUCAAAGGCCUAAGCAUACACUCUGUAAUACUUAAAUUGUACUAUAUGGGACACUAGAUAUUCUGUUUGGAAGGGAUAAAGAACCAAAAGCAGCAUUUUGCAGUGAUUUAAUUCCUUGUAUAUUGCCUUAUGUCCACUAAAGUGGAAAAAAAGAAUCUUCUCCUUUGCUUUCCUUAUCGAAAUAGGACUUAUAAAAAUUAUUGUUGUGGUAGAUGAAAGCACUAUGGUCCAUACUGAACUGUAAUUCAUUGUUGUGUAGCUAGAAUUAGGAGACAGUUCACACAGGUUGAGCAGUGGCACAUUUUGAUUAAUGAAGACAUUUCCAGAAACAUCAUUGAUGAUUCCUAGUUUUCUGAAGGAUUAUCAUAGGAUAAGAAAGAGAAAGAAAGAAAGAAAGAAGGAAGAAAAGAAAGAAAGCUAGG